rnacentral:rRNA from 1 species
UCUUUUAAUUGAAGGCUUGUAUGAAUGGUUGGACGAGACAUAAACUGUCUUAAAUUAAAUUUUAGAAUUUUAUUUUUCAGUCAAAAAGCUGAAAUUAAAUUAAAAGACGAGAAGACCCUAUAGAUCUUAAUAAUUAAUUAAUUAAUUUUAUAAAGAAAGUUUUAAAUUUGAUUAAGUAAGUUAUUUUAUUGGGGUGAUAAUAAGAUUCAAUAAACUCUUAUAUGAAUUUAACAUAAAUUUAUGAAUAAUUGAUCCGUUAAUAGUGAUUAUUAGAUUAAGUUACCUUAGGGAUAACAGCGUAAUUUUUUUAGAGAGUUCAUAUCGAUAAAAAAGAUUGC